rnacentral:rRNA from 1 species
CCUCAGUAACGGCGAGUGAAGCGGCAACAGCUCAAAUUUGAAAUCUGGCUCCUUCGGGGCCCGAGUUGUAAUUUGCAGAGGAUGCGUCGGGUACGGGUGCCUUCCGAGUUCCCUGGAACGGGACGCCAUAGAGGGUGAGAGCCCCGUCUGGUAGGACACCCAGCCCGUGUGACGCUCCCUCGACGAGUCGAGUAGUUUGGGAAUGCUGCUCUAACGGGAGGUAUACUCCUUCCAAGGCUAAAUACCGGCUGGAGACCGAUAGCGCACAAGUAGAGUGAUCGAAAGAUGAAAAGCACUUUGAAAAGAGAGUCAAACAGCACGUGAAAUUGUUAAAAGGGAAGCGCUCGCUACCAGACUUGGGUUCGGCGGUUCAACCGGGGCCACGCCCCGGGGCAUUCCGCCGGCCCAGGCCAGCAUCAGCUUUCCGUCGGGGGUAAAGGCGUCGGGAAUGUGGCUCCCCUUCGGGGGAGUGUUAUAGCCCGUCGUGUCAUACCCUUCGGGGGGCUGAGGUACGCGCUUCUGCAAGGAUGCUGGCGUAAUGGUAGCUAGUGACCCGUCUUGAAACACGGACCAAGGAGUCAACCUUAUGUGCGAGUGCCCGGGCGUAAAACCCCAGCGCGGAAUGAAAGUGAACGUAGGUGAGAGCUUCGGCGCAUCACCGACCGAUCCUGAUGUCCUCGGACGGAUUUGAGUGAGAGCAUAUAGGGUUGGACCCGAAAGAAGAUGAACUAUGCGUGUGUAGGGUGAAGCCAGAGGAAACUCUGGUGGAGGCUCGCAGCGGUUCUGACGUGCAAAUCGAUCGUC